ensembl:lncRNA
GUCAGAGUGGAGUCAGAGUGGAGUUGGAGUCAGAGUGGAAUCAGAGUCAGAGUCAGACUGGAAGUGGAAUCAGAGUCAGAGUCGGAGUGGAGUUGGAGUCAGAGUCGGAAUGGAGUUGGAGUCAGAGUCGAGUCAGAGUGGAGUCAGAGUUAGAGUGGAGACAGAGUCAAGUCAGAGUCGGAGCGGAGUCAGAGUCAGAGUCGGCUCAGAGUCGGAGUGGAGUCGGAGUCAGAGUGGAGUCAGAGUCGGAAUGGAGUUGGAGUCAGAGUGGAGUCAGUGACGGACUCAAGAGUUAGUGUGGAGUCAGAGUUGGAGUGGAGACGGAGUCGGAGUGGAGUUGGAGUCAGAGUGGAAUCAGAGUCAGAGUCGGAGUGGAGUUGGAGUCAGAGUGGAAUCAGAGUCAAGAGUCAGAGUGGAGUCGGACUGGAGUUGGAGUCAGAGUGGAAUCAGAGUCAGAGUCAGAGUGGAGACAGAGUCAGAGUGGAGUCAGAGUCAGAGUGGAGACAGAGUGGAGUCAGAGUCGGAGUGGAGUCAGAGGAAAAGUGGAGUUGGAGUCAGAGUGGAAUCAGAGUCAGAGUGGAGUUGGAGUCAGAGUGGAAUCAGAGUCAGAGUGGAGUCAGAGUCAGAGUGGAGACAGAGUGGAGUCAGAGUCAGAGUGGAGUCAGAGUCUUAGUGGAGUUGGAGUCAGAGUGGAAUCAGAGUCGGAGACGGAGUCAGAGUGGAGUUGGAGUCAGAGUGGAAUCAGAGUCAGAACGGAGUCAGAGUCAGAGUGGAGUCAGAGUCAGAGAGAAGACAGAGACAGAGUCAGAGUGGAGUCAGAGUCAGAGUGGAGUUGGAGUCAGAGUGGAAUCAGAGUCAGAGUCGGAGUGGAGUUGGAGUCAGAGUGGAGUCAGAGUCAGAGUGGAGUCAGAGUGGAGUCAGAGUGGAGACAGAGUCGAGUGGGAGUCGGAGCGGAGUCAGAGUCAGGGCGGAGUCGGAGUCAGAGUGGAAUCAGAGUCAGAGUCGGAGUGGAGUUGGAGUCAGAGUAGAGUCAGAGUCGGAAUGGAGUUGGAGUCAGAGUGGAGUCAGUGACGGACUCAGAGUUAGCGUGGAGUCAGAGUUGGAGUGGAGACGGAGUCAGAGUCAGAGUGGAGACAGAGUGGAGUCAGAGUCAGAGUGGAGUCAGAGUAUUAGUGGAGUUGGAGUCAGAGUGGAAUCAGAGUCGGAGACGGAGUCGGAGUGGAGUUCGAGUCAGAGUGGAAUCAGAGUCAGAGUCAGAACAGAGUCAGAGUGGAGUCAGAGUCAGAGUGAAAUCAGAGUCAGAGUUGGAUCAGAGUGGAGUCAGAAUCAGAGUGUAGUCAGAGUCGAGUCAGGGUGGAGUCAGAGUCAGAGCGGAGUCAGAGUCAGAGUCGGCUCAGAGUCGGAGUGGAGUCGGAGUCAGAGUGGAGUCAGAGUCGGAAUGGAGUUGGAGUCAGAGUGGAGUCAGUGUGGAGUAAGAGACGGAGUGGAGUUGGAGUCAGAGUGGAAGUGGAGUCAGAGUCGGAGUGGAGUCAGAGUCAGAGUGGAGACAGAGACAGAGUCAGAGUGGAGUCAGAGUCGGAGUGGAGUUGCAGUCAGAGUGGAAUCAGAGUCAGAGUCAGAAUGGAGUUGGAGUCAGAGUGGAAUCAGAGUCAGAGUCGGAGUGGAAGUGGAGUCAGAAUCAGAGUGGAGUCAGAGUGGAGACAGAGUCGAG